rnacentral:rRNA from 1 species
AGCGAACGCUGGCGGCAGGCUUAACACAUGCAAGUCGAGCGGGCAUCUUCGGAUGUCAGCGGCAGACGGGUGAGUAACACGUGGGAACGUACCCUUCGGUUCGGAACAACUCUGGGAAACUGGAGCUAAUACCGGAUACGCCCUUAUGGGGAAAGGUUUACUGCCGAAGGAUCGGCCCGCGUCUGAUUAGCUAGUUGGUGGGGUAACGGCCUACCAAGGCGACGAUCAGUAGCUGGUCUGAGAGGAUGAUCAGCCACACUGGGACUGAGACACGGCCCAGACUCCUACGGGAGGCAGCAGUGGGGAAUAUUGGACAAUGGGCGCAAGCCUGAACCAGCCAUGCCGCGUGAGUGAUGAAGGCCGUAGGGUUGUAAAGCUCUUUUGUCCGGGACGAUAAUGACGGUACCGGAAGAAUAAGCCCCGGCUAACUUCGUG